UGGGUGAUCUGGACCGUGUCAAGUCAAAGGAAGCAAAAGAAUUCACUCACAUAAACGUUGUCCACCUUCGUAUCACCCGUGGUCCAUAAGUCCUCUAUAACACACAUAAUAAGUUUGCAGGAGGUAUUUAUUCCAGACUUGAAGCGCAAAUUAAGGCCUCAGUGCCAGUCACUGCCCGGCAAAGCAGCUCAGAAAA